rnacentral:rRNA from 1 species
AGUGAACGCUGGCGGUAGGCCUAACACAUGCAAGUCGAACGGCAGCACAGUAAGUUCUUGCUCUUACGGGUGGCGAGUGGCGGACGGGUGAGGUAUACAUCGUAAUCUUCUUUUUCGUGGGUGAUAACGUAGGGAAACUUACGCUACUACCGCAUACUUCCUACCGGUGAAAGCAGUGGUUCUUCUCACCUUUCGCGUUUGUAUUAGCCGAUGUCGGAUUAGCUAGUUGGCGGGGUAAUGUCCCACCAAGGCGACGAUCCGGAGCUUGUCUGAGAGGAUGAUCAGCCACACGGGAAGGGAGACACGGAACAGAGUACGACGGGAGGCAGCAGUGGGGAAUAGUGGACAAUGGGGGAAAGCAUGAUACAGCAAUACCGAGUGGGUGAAGAAGGCGUUCGGGUUGUAAAGCCCUUUUGUGGGGAAAGAAAAGCAGCAGGUUAAAACGAAGCUGUAGUGACGGUAACGAAAGAAAAAGCACCGGCUAACUACGUG